rnacentral:hammerhead_ribozyme from 1 species
AUCCAGCUGACGAGUCCCAAAUAGAACAAACCGUGAGUCCUAGAU